GAUGAACGCUAGCGGCAGGCUUAAUACAUGCAAGUCAAGGGGGUAGCAAUACAACCGGCGCACGGGUGAGUAACGCGUACACAACAUACCAUAUACUGGAGUAUAGCUUUGGGAAACUGAAGGUAAUCCUCCAUAACAUUGCGAGAGGGCAUCUGAUUGCAAUUAAAGUUUCGGCGGUAUAUGAUUGGUGUGCGUUUGAUUAGCUAGUUGGUAGGGUAACGGCCUACCAAGGCGACGAUCAAUAGCUGGCGUGAGAGCGCGACCAGCCACACUGGAACUGAGACACGGUCCAGACUCCUACGGGAGGCAGCAGUAGGGAAUAUUGGACAAUGAGGAAACUACUGAUCCAG
rnacentral:rRNA from 1 species